UAACAAAUUUAAAUAUAUUAUCCGCGCGUAGCGCGGAGAAAGAAUCUAGUAUUUAUAAGAGAUCUACAACGUAGCACAAGAUCCUAUAAAACAGUUUAGAUAAUGCAGUCAGACGUGAAUCUUCAUACAACACGUCAGAAUAAUGCAAAUUGGCUGUGAAAUCGUCACUAAUAUUUUCUAUAGCAGUAAUAACAUAAUUAUCUGUGUUAAAAAAAUAAUCAUGAGAAUAACAUAGCACUAAUUAUGCUAGUCGCUAGAACGAUGUCGUUUAUGUACAAAGAUUUAAUGUAACCGAACCAUAUCAAAACCUACUACUCUCUCUCUCCCUCUCUCACUCAACCGGCGCCGGAGAUAUUUCCCGAUUACACAAAUCGAGUCAAGUAGAGGUGUCUUUUGGAUGGAAAGACGCGUCGCGAACGCCUUCCCUGGAGCUGGUCCUCCACCACCACAAGUUCCCUAUUAUCAUAACAACAACAACAACAACUACAACCCUCAUCAGAUUCAUCCGUCGCACCACCAUGUCUCCGCCGUUGGAUUCCACCAAUACCCACAAAACGACAACAGAGAUCAGCGUUUCAAUCAGCCGCAUUUUGAUAAUCAACAGCAACACAAUAUGAUCGUUGACGCUCCGCCGAGUAGUGAGUUUAGUCCUUGCGGCGGCGGAAGCAGCUUAAGGAAGAGACGCUCUCUAUCCUCCUCCACCACCCCAGAUCCUACUGCUGCUGCUGAUGGUUGUAUUGCCAAGUUAUAUGUUGCGCCUGUUCCAAAGACUGCUAAGGAAGACGAUGUCCGUCAGGUGUUUGAAAAGUAUGGUAAUGUCACCGAGAUCAUCCUACCCAGAGAUAAGAUGAGCAGUGAACGAGCAGCUUACUGUUUUGUUAAGUACAGAAAGUUAGAAGAGGGUAAUGCCGCUAUUGCAGCUUUAACAGAUCAGUAUACCUUUCCUGGGGAAAUGUCUCCAGUUCAGGUUAGAUAUGCCGGCGCAGAACGUGAGCGGAUUGGUGUUUCAACAGUGCAAAUUCCUGAUAAAUUAUACGUUAGAUGCCUUAACAAACAAACAACAAAGACGGACGUCCAUGAGGUGUUUUGUAGGUUUGGAGUCAUUGAAGAUAUUUAUAUGGCAGUCGACGACAUGAAGGUUAGCCGUGGGUUUGCAUUUGUUCAGUUUUCUCGGAAGGAGAUGGCACUAGCAGCAAUCAAAGGGUUAAAUGGAGUAUUUACCAUGCGGGGUUCUGAUCAGCCUCUGAUUGUUAGAUUUGCAGACCCUAAAAAACCUCGUCUAGGGGAACCAAGGUUUAACUUUAACGCUCCACCUGCAAUGCAACAAUACGACCCAAAUUGGCACCCACAACCAUAUCCCCAAUGGGGAAACAAUGAACAUGCAGCUCCUAGAUUCGUUGAUUUCGCUUCUCAGCCAAAUCACUUCCCGCAGCAAAAUGCUCAAGCAGUAUCCGAGUUUCAACAACCGCUGCAUCAGAAAUCUGAGACUGCCAGCGUGAAGACUAGAAGCGAUGGUCAGAAGAUUUCUAGUCGUUCAAAUGCCAUCCAUGAAGAUCAAAAUACAGAAGAAUGUGACUGGAGUGAGCACACUUGUCCUGAUGGGAACAAGUAUUAUUUCCAUUGUGUCACUUGUGAAAGCACGUGGGAGAAACCAGAGGAGUACUCCAUGUUUGAGAGAUGGUUCGACGAGCAAAUAAGGCUACAAGAUCAAAAUAUUGCCAAGAGCCAAGAUGCAAUAAAAAACACCCAGCAAGAUGAGUCUACUCUAUUGGAACAGACUACUAAACUCCAACAACAAUCCUUAUCCACAGCGGAUCAGGAGAACAAUUCAGUAUAUCCGGUAGUAACAAGAGUGAGUGGCUGUUGAAACGUCGUGUCCAUAAAAAUGUCUCAGGACAAGUCACUAAACAAGUAUUUUGGAAAGGGGAUUCAAAAAAAAGUUAAGAAAAGAAUAGACCUGAGUUUAAAGAAGUUGAUUUCUUCAAGAAUGGGAACAUUUGGUAAAUAUUUGUUGGAAUCCAAUAGAAAAGGGGUGUGAUGAGAGUGGCAUAAACUUUGGGACUUGUGAAAAACCAUAGGGACCACUGAUGAUGAUGAUCCAUCUAGAGAGAUGUAUGUUUGGUUUAGAAACCUCUGCACCUUAUAGUCUCUCACAUUUGCUCUAUUGAUGAUGUCCACCACACCUACCUUAAAAAAAAACGCUUUCAUGGUCAUUCACGCAUUUGAUAUGAAUCCCACCAGAUAUCUUAGUUGGAUUAUAUUUGAAAAAUAUUUACUAUAAAUCGACAACUGCAAGUUAACUAAAAGUUGGAGUUUAUAAGGUAAAUAAAACCACCUAUAAUUUCCACCUGAUCCGAACCAAAAACUAAAAUCCAUUUCACAUUUCAAAGUGCCUCUGGGCGAAAGAGAGGGUUCCUCAUCGUCAAUCAAUCAUGUUCCUUUUAAAAGGCCCAAAUAGAUUUGCAGACCAAAGAAAGAAGCCACUUUCUUUGCAGAAACAAACAUCAACUUACUCUCCAUCAGCUAACGAACAAGAAAGAAGCACAAGGUGGUUGGGAUCUAAAAGCUGAUGGCGAAGAUCAAGCCUCAAGCUCUAUUGCAGCAAAGCAAGAAGAAGAAAGGACCUGCUCCUAUUAGCAUAACCAGCAUCGUGAUUUACACCUUGGCCGUGCUUUUGGUCGUCUUCGUCCUCUUCUCCGCCUACAAACGUUGGACCCUCAGAUCUGAGAUCCCAACCCACAAUGGUAGAUCACUUCUUCAGGUUACUAUUAUUCUCUCUGUCUAUGUCUUCUCAUAGUUAUACCCCCCUCCUUUGUCAAAUGAUUGUCUUGUUGUUGUGUAGGAUCCAGCCUUCCCUGGAGUGAAGAAGAAUACUAAUCUCCCAUGGUUUGCUACCUUGGAUACUGGCAAAGGUUCAGUGACCAUUCAACUAUUCAAGGAUGCUGCUCCCAACGUUGUUGACGAAUUCAUCAACUUAUCUCAAGAUGGGUAUUUCAAAGGUUUCUCAUUCAGUAGAGUUGUAAAGCAUGCUGUGAUUCAAGCUGGCCACUCUGCUCAGUUCGAUGCUGUCAAAGAUUGGGCUCUCCAAAGGAAUAAUCUUCAUACCAGGUU